GAUCAUGGCUCAGAUUGAACGCUGGCGGCAUGCUUUACACAUGCAAGUCGAACGGUAACAGGUCUUCGGAUGCUGACGAGUGGCGAACGGGUGAGUAAUGCAUCGGAACGUGCCCAGUCGUGGGGGAUAACGCAGCGAAAGCUGCGCUAAUACCGCAUACGAUCUAUGGAUGAAAGCGGGGGACCGUAAGGCCUCGCGCGAUUGGAGCGGCCGAUGUCAGAUUAGGUAGUUGGUGGGGUAAAGGCUCACCAAGCCAACGAUCUGUAGCUGGUCUGAGAGGACGACCAGCCACACUGGGACUGAGACACGGCCCAGACUCCUACGGGAGGCAGCAGUGGGGAAUUUUGGACAAUGGGCGCAAGCCUGAUCCAGCAAUGCCGCGUGCAGGAAGAAGGCCUUCGGGUUGUAAACUGCUUUUGUACGGAACGAAACGGUCCGGGUUAAUACCCUGGGCUAAUGACGGUACCGUAAGAAUAAGCACCGGCUAACUACGUG
rnacentral:rRNA from 1 species